UACGGAGGGGGCUAGCGUUGUUCGGAAUUACUGGGCGUAAAGCGCACGUAGGCGGCUUUGCAAGUUAGAGGUGAAAGCCCGGGGCUCAACUCCGGAAUUGCCUUUAAAACUGCAUCGCUAGAAUUGUGGAGAGGUAAGUGGAAUUCCGAGUGUAGAGGUGAAAUUCGUAGAUAUUCGGAAGAACACCAGUGGCGAAAGCGACUUCCUGGACCAGUACCGACGUUCAGGCACGAAAGCGUGGGGAGCAAACAGG
rnacentral:rRNA from 1 species